GGCUCGAUAGCUUAGUUGGUAAAGCGCUCGUCUAGCAUACAAGAGUCCUGGGUUCAAAUCCCAGCAGCCG
rnacentral:tRNA from 1 species